rnacentral:rRNA from 1 species
GGCGGCGUGCUUAACACAUGCAAGUCAAGGAGAACGGNUUCUUCGGGAUACUAGUAAACUGGCGAACGGGUGAGUAACACGUAGGUAAUCUACCCUGGAGAUUGGGAUAACCUCGGGAAACCGGAGCUAAUACCGAAUAAUGCAGCGGAUCCUUCGGGAUAUGUUGUUAAAGCGGGCUUUUGCUCGCACUUUAGGAUGAGCCUGCGUCCGAUUAGCUUGUUGGUGGGGUAAUGGCCUACCAAGGCGAUGAUCGGUAGCUGGUCUGAGAGGAUGAUCAGCCACACUGGGAUUGAGAUACGGCCCAGACUCCUACGGGAGGCAGCAGUGGGGAAUUUUGCGCAAUGGGCGAAAGCCUGACGCAGCAACGCCGCGUGAUCGAUGAAGCUUUUCGGAGUGUAAAGAUCUGUCGUGAGGGAAGAAUAACUUGGAUGCAAAUAGUUUUCAAGUCUGACGGUACCUUACAAGAAAGCACCGGCUAACUUCGUGCCAGCAGCCGCGGUAAUACGAGGGGUGCUAGCGUUGUCCGGAAUCAUUGGGCGUAAAGGGUCCGUAGGUGUCUUUGCAAGUCGUUUGUUACAUCCACCGGCUCAACCGGUGGCCUGCAAUCGAAACUGCAAGGAUAGAGUUCGAGAGAGGAAAGUGGAAUUCCUGGUGUAGCGGUGACAUGCGUAGAUAUCAGGAGGAACACCAAUGGCGAAGGCAGCUUUCUGGCUCGAUACUGACACUGAGGGACGAAAGCGUGGGUAGCGAACAGGAUUAGAUACCCUGGUAGUCCACGCCGUAAACGAUGAGUACUUGAUGUCGGAGGAUUCGACCCCUUCGGUAUCGUAGCUAA